ensembl:lncRNA
CAAAGCCUCAGAAUUAUUAAGUUAAGGGAAUGAGAUUUGAACCCAGGUUCUAUUGAAUCCAAAGUCCACUAUCUGGCAGAGGAACUCUCUCUCACCUCAAUUUAAUCCAUUUCAUGCACAAGUCAAGAAAUCACCUAAUGAUGUAAUUGGUUCUCUUUGAAAAAGAAAACAGCAACAAUCUACAUUACACUUUCUUCUAAGACAUUUCGACACACUAACACUGUCAGGCAGAAGGUGUUGGAUACUGUUGGCUUCAUUUUCAAUUAAGGAAACUGAAAAUCAAAGUAGUUAGGCCAUUUUGAAGUGGUAAAUAUGGGACUGGAACUCAAAUAUCUUUACUGAAUACAUUAUCUUUCCAUUUAUUCCUGUGAAUGAAAAAUUAUUUGGGCAAAGAAAAAUGGAUCUGAAAAGCAAAGGAGCUCAGAACUUUGGGAACACAAAUCAUCAGGGGAGGGGAAACUGUUCCAAUGGAACCUUGAAAGAGGCAGUUAGGAAACUCCAGCUGCCUGAGACUUCAUCUUCUUGACUGUUUCUACCUGAGGGUGGAAGACCCCUCUGUCUCCUCUCUGGCCAUUGCCUUCUACCUACUCUGUCAUACAAGUAAAACAUACGAUGAAUAUUAGCUUAACAUCAUGUAGACCUUUGUGUCUGGCAGCAGAAGGUUCUGCCUUAGAAGAAAGCACUUUCCUCAUUGGUAGAGAUAUUGAAACAGGAACUGCAUAACCACGUGUCAAGAUUCAUUAGAACAGGAGAUAAAUUCAUUAAACAAGUGGAUGGAGUGAAGUCUGGCUUCUCUAGCUGAGAUCAGAUAAUUCUAGUAAGCUCAUCUCUUAAUGACCGGGACCAAAGCCUUUUCCUGAGCACUGAUGAGGGGGCCACCUUUCAGAAACAACUCAUCACAUUCUUUGUUGAAACUCUGAUUUUCCAUCCCAAAGAAGAGGAUAAAGUGGUUGCCUACACUAAGGAGAGCAAGGUUUACUUAUCGACUGACUUAGGAAAGAAAUGGACCCUUCUUCAAGAACGAGUGACUAAGGACCAUUCUCAGAAUUGCUCUGAUAGAACACCCACGAUUCCAUUUGCCAGCAGCAUUGACCACAAUUCCCUGACUGUGCAGGACGACUACAUAUUCUUUAAGGCGACCACAGCAAAUCGGACUAAAUACUAUGUAUCAUAUCGACGCAAUGAAUUUGUCCUGAUGAAACUACCAAAAUAUGCACUACCAAAGGACUUGCAGAUUAUCAGCACUGAUGAAAAUGAGGUAUUUGUGGCUGUCCAAGAAUGGUACCAAAUGGACACGUACAACCUUUACCAGUCAGACCCACAGGGCGUGUACUAUUCAAUUGUGCUUGAGAACGUUAGGAGCACGAAGCAACCAGAAGAAAACGUCCUGAUCGAUAUCCUGGAGGUCAGAGGUGUCAAAGGAGUCUUCCUGGCCAACCAAAAGAUUGAUGGAAAGGUCACAACACUGAUAACCUACAACAAAGGCCGUGACUGGGAUUAUCUGACGCCACCUGCCACUGACAUGAAUGGCAAACCCACCAACUGCAAACCUCCUGACUGCCAUCUUCACCUUCAUCUCCGAUGGGCAGACAAUCCAUACGUGUCAGGCACUGUCCAUACCAAGGACACAGCACCUGGUCUGAUCAUGGGAGCAGGUAACCUGGGCUCUCAGCUGGUGGAAUACAAAGAGGAAAUGUACAUCACAUCUGACUGUGGAAAUACUUGGCGUCAGGUCUUCGAAGAGGAACAUCACAUUCUGUACCUGGAUCAUGGUGGAGUGAUUGUGGCUAUCAAAGACACAUCCAUCCCUUUGAAAAUACUCAAGUUCAGCAUUGAUGAAGGUCACACCUGGAGCACACAUAAUUUCACAAGCACCUCAGUCUUCGUGGAUGGACUGCUAAGUGAGCCCGGGGAUGAGACUCUGGUCAUGACGGUCUUUGGUCACAUAAGUUUCCGUUCAGAUUGGGAACUGGUGAAGGUGGACUUCAGACCCUCUUUUCCCAGGCAGUGUACUGAGGAUGAUUAUGACUACUGGAACCUCACCAACUUACAGGGUAAUCGCUGUAUCAUGGGACAACAGAGGAGUUUCCGGAAAAGGAAGACCACAUCAUGGUGUAUCAAGGGGCAAAGCUUCACAUCAGUACUCACAUCUAGUGUGUGCAAAUGUUCAAGCUCAGAUUUUUUUUGUGAUUAUGGAUUUGAAAGAUCAGCAACUUCAAAAUCAGAAGCCAAAAAGUGUUUUGCGAAUUUCUGGUUUAAUCCUGACUCACCUCCUGAAGAUUGUGUGUUGGGGCAGGCAUAUACUAGCAGCCCAGGGUACCGGAAAGUGGUAUCUAAUGUCUGUGAAGGUGGUGUGGACCUGCAGCGGUACGUGCUUCAGCAUCAGUGCCCCCUGACAGCCCCCAGAGGGCUGCAAGUCAGCAUCAAAGGAGAGACUGUGGCCGGUGAUGUUCUAAAUACAAAGUACCUGGUGGAUCUUGGCGAUGGCUUUAAGGCUGUCUAUGUGAACCUCACUGUGACAGGGGAACCUAUCCGACACCGCUAUGAGAAUCCAGGAAUCUACCGGGUCUAUGUCAAAGCAGAAAAUGCUGCUGGGCAUGAGGAAGCUGUGCUGUUUGUUCAAGUGAAUUCUCCUCUACGGGCGCUACACCUGGAAGUAGUUCCUGUUAUUGGAGUAAACCAGGAAGUCAACCUCACUGCCAUUCUGCUGCCCAAGAACCCCAAUCUAACUGUCUUCUACUGGUGGAUAGGAAAUAACUUGCAGGUAUAUCAAUUUCAAGUCCUGCCUCUGAAGUUUACUAAGCACUUGGAUAUAUACAAUCCCAACAUCCCUGAAUGGCGAGAAGACAUUGGCCUGGUCGUCACCCGCCUCCUUUCUGAGGAAACCAAUAUCCCUGAGGAAUCUCUGCUGACUGUGGUGAAACCAGGCCUGCCCACAACUGCUGACUUGCAUGUGCUCCUGCCAGCACCUAAACCAAAGAGGAAGAGGAGCAUACCAAGCAGAACUGUUUAUGCCCAGAUGCACAAUGAAAAGGAACAGGAGAUGACCAGCCCAGUCAACCACAGCGAGGACACACAGAACAUCAUCCAGGGUGAGGAGUUUAUAGAUGAUGAUCUGGAUUCCCAAACCCUAGGUAACAUCAGAGGUAACUUCACCUUCCUUUAUUCACCUUUUGCUGAGUGCAAAAUAUUUUUUUCCCUUUAA